rnacentral:rRNA from 1 species
UACAUGGGGUGCAAACGUUGCUCGGAAUUAUUGGGCGUAAAGAGCGUGUAGGCGGCUUGGUAGGUCCGCUGUGAAAACUCGAGGCUCAACCUCGAGAUGUCGGCGGAAACCACUUGGCUAGAGUCCGGAAGAGGAGAGUGGAAUUCCUGGUGUAGCGGUGAAAUGCGCAGAUAUCAGGAAGAACACCUAUGGCGAAGGCAGCUCUCUGGGACGGUACUGACGCUGAGACGCGAAAGCGUGGGGAGCGAACAGG